rnacentral:lncRNA from 1 species
GAUUGUGGCAGAGUCAGCUGGUGGGGUUAGCCUUACCUCAGGCCAUGAUUAGGUGCCAGCAGAGUUGAAAUGGGAUGGAUAUUUCCUUCCUUUCCAGGCCAUUAGAUGGCCAACUGUACAGUGCUUAUGAGUCUUGAAGAGGCUGGACUAGGGUCAGGCUAUCCCAGUGUUCAGAUGCUGGCUGUGAUGGAGAAGGAUGGGCUGGUCCCUGUGUCACCAGCUGAACUCUCACGCUGGAGAAGACAGAAGUCUUAGGUGGUAAAGGCCAAAGGAAUAUCAUAGGUCUGUGGGAGGUGAAUUUUCAGAAGGGCACUGAGCGCGGUAAAAUGUUCAGGCAGAGACUAGCCUUCUGUAGAAGACGGACCUCAACAAUCAGCAUAUCCAGUGAUUCUAGGUGCCUCUCAAACCUUUGUACUUGGCCAAAGUGUAUUUUGUUGUUGUUGUUCUUAGUGAUCUCUCAGAGAUUUGGAUGCACCAAGUUCUCUCAUGCCCUGAGACAGGUGAGAUAGAAGCCAUUUCCUGAAUAUGC